rnacentral:rRNA from 1 species
ACGCACGCUGGCGGCGUGCUUAACCCCUGCAAGUCGAACGGAAAGGCCCUGCUUGCAGGGUACUCGAGUGGCGAACGGGUGAGUAACACGUGGGUGAUCUGCCCUGCACUUCGGGAUAAGCCUGGGAAACUGGGUCUAAUACCGGAUAGGAGCCAUUUUUAGUGUGAUGGUUGGAAAGUUUUUUCGGUGUAGGAUGAGCUCGCGGCCUAUCAGCUUGUUGGUGGGGUAAUGGCCUACCAAGGCGGCGACGGGUAGCCGGCCUGAGAGGGUGGACGGCCACAUUGGGACUGAGAUACGGCCCAGACUCCUACGGGAGGCAGCAGUGGGGAAUAUUGCACAAUGGGCGCAAGCCUGAUGCAGCGACGCCGCGUGGGGGAUGACGGCCUUCGGGUUGUAAACUCCUUUCGCUAGGGACGAAGCUUUUUGUGACGGUACCUAGAUAAGAAGCACCGGCUAACUACGUG